rnacentral:lncRNA from 1 species
AAAUACUGUAAUAUUCUCAGACUGUGGUUGACUGUGGAAAGCAAAAUGUUGGAUGAGAAUAUCACAACUGCUAUAACAGUGAUUGCCUGAUGUGGACCAAAAUUGAUGGAAGCAGAAACUCAACAAUUGGAUAGACACUGUGUUCUCCAGUUGCCAGCAACACUCAUAGACAUGUCUUAAGUUCCAGGAAGUAAAUUUUGAGCAGGGUAUUGAGAAAUAACAGUUCAUACAGAAAAGUGUGGCUACCAUGCUUAAAGACCUCAGGGAACUCUCUACCGCCUUCCACCAUAUGAGGACAUAGGAAAAAGAGAGCCAUCUAGGAACUAGGAGAUGAGCCUUCAUAAGACACUGAUUCUGCUACCAUUUUGAUCUUGGACUUCCCACCCUUCAAACUGUGAGAUACAAGUUUCUGUUGUGUAUAGGCUACUCACUGUAUGAUAUUUUCCUAUAGCAACCCUGAAAGACUAAGACAAUCAGUGUGCAUUAGAGAUAAGUUAUAUCGAUUAUGAGGACCCCAGAUAAAUUCCCUUUAGUAUUUUUUCCUAUAAGAAAUGAAAAGUAUUUGGCCCUGUAUCUUCCACUAAUCUAAAUAGGCAGUGAAGAAAAUAAUACAACAAAUAUUAUUGCAACAGAAUAACAAGCCUCUAUUUCGACGUGACAGCCUUGAAGUAGAAAGAGAAAUUAAGAGCACUCCUCCAUCUCAUUAGAAAUAGGUCUGCGUAAUAGUAGGGCCUUUAUAAAUUGAUUAAUAACAGAAGCCACAAAGAUGCUGCAUUCUUUUUGUUAGAUGAUACUAUACUAUAACACUCAAGUCAACCCUGGUAAUUUUUCCUGUAAAUUUAAGCCAAAUAAUUCAAAACAGGUGUAUAUUAUUGCUAAAUCAUUAUCCAACUACCUGUCACAGAACAGUUUUGGUGUCAUUAAAUGUCGUUUAUGAUUAUUCCAUGCGUAUUACAAAGAAAGUGCUGGAGUUUACAUUUAUCCCUGUGGAAUAUAAUUUUAUUAUUUGAUUUUAUCCUUCCUCAUGUUUGACAAUAGUUUGGGUUGUUGUAGUUUGUUUUUUGUUUGCUUGGUUUUUUUUCUUGUGUAUUUAUGCUGUCACACAAAAUGUUUGCACCUAUCCCAGCUACGUCUGUUCUGUGCCAUCUGUGCACCUUACUGUCAUAUAGCCUAUGUCAUUGUGCAAGUCAUUAAUAUAAAUAUUGAAAAAGAUUAUCCCCAGGACAUAUGGUUAGAGGCUUCCAUCAUAGCAGAAAGCAAAUCUAAACCUCUAAACUUUGGUUACAGUAGCUUAACAACGUAAGAAGCCAUGCAAUAAUAUUAGAAUUUAAUCCAAAGCUCUUUAUCUCUUUCAUAUACAUACAACCACCAUCACCACUUCCAAAAAAUAGAUAAAACUAGCUGUUGUAGUAAAAAGACUCAUAUUUUCAAGACUAUCUCAAUUGAAAAUUCAAGAGACUAUUUAAAACUCAACAUCAAUAAUUUGUCUUUGUUGUUAUAUACAAAAUCUCUGACCCUGAGGCUGCUGGGUAAGGAGAAAAUUCACUUCUGCAUGAAGGUUGGAGGAAGAGCAAUCAUUAAAAGAAUUCUUGGACAAAGAAAACUCUACUAUUAUCUCAAAAUAUUAUUUACUGUAUCUGCAUAGCCAGAGAACAGGAAAUAAAAUAGGUUGAUUAUAAAAGAUAGCACUGAUUAAUGAUCCUGGGCUGUGCCAUGAAGUCAUUUGUUUCAACGUAAGACAUUCUAGCUUUAUCAUCACCGCUAUUAGGAACUAUGUAUUUUAGGUAAAACAGAGAAUUUGCAUUAGCAGAAUACUGUUCUUUCUUCCACAUAGAGAUAUGUUUUAUAUACAUCAUAUAUAUAAUAUAAAAUAUGUAUAUAUUUAAAAGAUAUAUAUAAAAUCUU